GACGAACGCUGGCGGCGUGGAUUAGGCAUGCAAGUCGAACGGUAUGGACCUUUCGGGGUUCAGAGAGUGGCGAACGGGUGAGUAACACGUAGGUAAUCUACCCUCAAGACGGGGACAACCCAGGGAAACUUGGGCUAAUACCGGAUGUGUGUAGUGGCUAUUUUUCUGAUUAUCAUUAUUUACGUAAGUGAGUAAUAAUAAGAAGGGAAAGUGGUUAUUACAUAAAAGGUGGCGUAAGCUGCCGCUUGGGGAUGAGCCUGCGUCCUAUUAGUUAGUUGGUGAGGUAACGGCUUACCAAGGCGAUGAUAGGUAGGCGGCCUUAACGGGUGGUCGCCCACACUGGGAUUGAGAUACGGCCCAGACUCCUACGGGAGCAGCAGUCGAGAAUAGUCUACAAUGGACGGAAGUCUGAUAGUGCGACGCCGCGUGAACGAAGAAUCCCUUCGGGGUGUUAAAGUUCUUUUAAUACGUGAGCAGUGUCCUUUAUAUUAAUAGUAUAAGGGGAGAGAUAUUAGCGUAUGAAUAAGCAACGGCUAACG
rnacentral:rRNA from 1 species